UGGGGAAUUUUGGACAAUGGGCGAAAGCCUGAUCCAGCAAUGCCGCGUGUGUGAAGAAGGCCUUCGGGUUGUAAAGCACUUUUGUCCGGAAAGAAAUCCUUGGCUCUAAUACAGUCGGGGGAUGACGGUACCGGAAGAAUAAGCACCGGCUAACUACGUGCCAGCAGCCGCGGUAAUACGUAGGGUGCAAGCGUUAAUCGGAAUUACUGGGCGUAAAGCGUGCGCAGGCGGUUUGCUAAGGCCGAUGUGAAAUCCCCGGGCUCAACCUGGGAACUGCAUUGGUGACUGGCAGGCUAGAGUAUGGCAGAGGGGGGUAGAAUUCCACGUGUAGCAGUGAAAUGCGUAGAGAUGUGGAGGAAUACCGAUGGCGAAGGCAGCCCCCUGGGCCAAUACUGACGCUCAUGCACGAAAGCGUGGGGAGCAAACAGGAUUAGAUACCCUGGUAGUCCACGCCCUAAACGAUGUCAACUAGUUGUUGGGGAUUCAUUUCCUUAGUAACGUAGCUAACGCGUGAAGUUGACCGCCUGGGGAGUACGGUCGCAAGAUUAAAACUCAAAUGAAUUGACGGGGUCAUAGCUGUUU
rnacentral:rRNA from 1 species